GGAAACCUGUUAAAGGUGCCAGUAAUGCUGUGGAAGGAUCUGAGAGAAGAAGGAGAAAAGUGGGAAUAGCCAUAAAGGAGGUUACUCACAGAUAGCUGUGAAGAAAUGAGACAGAAAAGGCGUGAGAGUGACCUGCUCUGAUGGUACUGCUGUUCCAGGACAUGCUACAUUCCAGCGGGUUUCUUCCCUUCAGUUGAACGCAAACAUACAGACACUGAAAGGCCGCUCUCAGGUCUCCCUGGAACCUUCUCCAGGCUGAACAGCCCCAGCUCUCUCAGCCUGUAGGAGAGAUGUUCCAUUCAGUCGAUCAUUUCUGUGGUCCUCCGCUGGAUGCGCUCCAACAGAUCCACGUCUCUUCUGUACUGGGGACUCCACAUCUGGAUGCAGUGCUCCAGGUGAGGUCUCAACAGCGCAAGACACGGUGCGGUCUGAUGUGUGACCCGGGAUGUGACCCGGUGUGUGACAGCGUGACCCCGGUCUGUAACCCAAUUUAUAACGCCAUGUGCAACACGAUGUGUGACUUGGUGCAUAAUACAGUCUGUGUCGCGGUGUGUGACCUGCUGUACAGCACAGCGCGUGGCCCACUG
rnacentral:lncRNA from 1 species